ACAAGUCUCAGUAGCUUUCUACUGCUGCCCUCAUUCUAUCACUGCAACACAAAGCCACUUCAGGGCUCGGCUGAACAGCAGUGAUAAUUAAACAGGGGAACAGAACCACUCCAGCUCCACCGAGGAGGAGCAUGGGGAGAGCUCCAGGGACGUGAAACAAUUCUGGGUGGCUGCAGGGCUUCUACCUGAUGGCUGAGACAGCUUGGAGACACCGACCUGAGGCCACCUCAGAGACACCAACCCGAGGCCACUUCAGAGACACCGACCCACAUCCACCUCAGUGACAUUGACCCACGGCCACCUCAGAGACCCACACUGAGCCACAUCCACCUCAGAGACACUGACCUGAGGCCACCUCAGAGACACCGACCCACAUCCACCUCAGUGACAUUGACCCACAGCCACCUCAGAGACACUGAGCCACGGCCACCUCAGAGACCCAUGCAGGCCCAAGGCCACCACCUCAGAGACCCACACUGCGCCACAUCCACCUCAGAGACACUGACCUGAGGCCACCUCAGACACUGAGCCACGGCCACCUCAGAGACCCACAGUGACCUACGGCCACCUCAGAGACCCACAGCCAUCUCAGAGACCUACAUUUACCUGAGGCCACCAUCUCAGAGACCCACACUGGCCCAAGGCAAACACCUCAGAGACCCACCACUGACCUGAGGCCACCUCAGAGACCCUGACCUAAACACACCUCUGAGACCCACGCUGACCUGAGGCCACCUCCUCAGAGACACAGACAUUGACCCAUGACCACCUCAGAGACCCAGACAUUGACCCAAAGCCACCUGAGAGACCCACACUGACACAAGGCCACCACCUCAGAGACCCACAGACACGAGACCACCUCAGAGACCCACGUUGACCUCAAGGCCACCUCAGAGACCCAUGCAGGCCCAAGGCCACCACCUCAGAGAUCCACACUGAUCCGAGGCCACCACCUCAGAGACACCGACCCACGGCCACCAUGUCACAGUGCUGUGCCUCAGCAGAGAGACCCUUACGAGCCUAUUAUCUCCAAGGAACACAAAAGGGAGUUUUCAGGAAGAUAACAGAACCACAGGGCUCCCACUUGUAUAAGACUCGCUGUGGAGCCACACCAUCACUCCAAGUGCCAGAGGCCAUUUAAAGUCAGGAUAUUUCAUAAGGCACAGGGAACCCUUUGGAGGCUCCGUCUGGUUGCUUGCACCAUCUGCAGCACUAAUUGGCACCUGUCUUGGCAGAUUCAAAUGAACAAAAGUAAUGGAGACUGAA